CUCAGGCCCCUCCCCCCUCCACUACACACCUGAUUGAGGCGUUCACGGCCAUUGCCAGCGUGGGAAUUACACAGCGAGGGACGUCAUCCAAUUGGACCGACGUCUCCCUGAGCAAUUUGCCUUGGCUUCGCUCGCUGGCGUCGUCGCCGGCCAUCGUGGCGCCGCCUGCUUUUGUAUCCGCCGGGAUUCCUGGCUGGACCAGCCGGCAACAUGGCGGCUGAGCUCGGAGGGAAAGAAGGGAUUUGAGCUCGAGGGGAAGAAUGGAGGCGAGAUGAGUGUGUCGGUGUUUGCACUUGUUGUUACUUGUUCUCUUCCUGUUCCUGAUCCUAUUGCGACGAGACAAUGAACGCUCGCAGCCAAAACAAGUUUGCAUCUCCCCGACACAAAGCAACGUGUUUAUACAUAUGAUAAUCUACCACUACGACAACUAUGCUAAUUAAUUUGCGUGCAUGCGUGUGUGUGUGUGUCCUUUGCCUGCCUUAGAAAAACAACGUACAGAAAUGUGUACAGUCCAACUUAAUUCAAUCUGUUUGUUUAUUGUGGUGGGAGAACAAGCUCGUCAUUUUAGUUAGCCAACCAGAGCGAAGAUAAUAACAACAGCAAUACUUGAAAUGAAUUGAAAUGCUAUUCAUCCGUUCUGGCUGCCCCCCCCCCCCCCAAAAAAAAACUACUUUUCUCCUUACGUCUUUAAAUUAGAAAAACAGCAUGUUAUUGUAAAACACAUAUACGGUAAAAACGCAAAAAAAAAACAAAGGUGAAUGUAAGGAAAUACACUGGCUUUAUGAAGCGUCAUGAAGCCAUAAAUCACUUACACACGCAGUCGUACAGUAUUCAAUCAUUUAUUCGCUUUUAAAGGGGCGUGGCCUAGUGAGAUAUGUCAGGACUCCAGCUCCGAUUGGUUUGUUGCCCCGUUCAGCGCCGUGUUAGCAUCUGCUCCGUGCUCCUUGCGAGUGUUUUCAUUUUGUAUGUUGCGUGUUUGGUUGCUCGUACCGUUCCGAAAACGUCCGAAAGUGAAAGCGCAUCGGUGACUUGUCUUGAGCGGAGGUGUAUCUGAUUCGUACUCAUAAGUCCAAUUUUGGCUCGCAACAUAGAGCAACUGAACAACUCAGCUUGCAGUAAGCAACUUACCUGUUUCCAAUUAAUCUGUUCACCUGUGGAAUGUUCCAAACAAGUGUUUUUUGAGCAUUACUCAAAUUUCCCAGUGAAAAAAACAUUUAUCAGUUUGAACAUUGAAUAUCGUGUCUUUGCAGUGUAUUCAGUUGAAUAUACUGUUGGUUGAAUUGGAUUUGCAAAUCAUCGUGUUCUGUUUUAAUUGAUAUUUUACAAAACAUUGGAAUUGAGGUUUGUAGAUGGCUGCCAAAAGACACUUCCUGUGGUCAUCCCUUCUUGGUCUACAGCAUCACUCCCUGGAAUACAUGAUCAGGUCCGAUUCCAAGUCAUUGCUUCCUGGUCUCGAUCAUCACUUCUUGGUCUACGUCAUCACUUCCUGUUCCUGGUCUUCCACAGGAGCGAAAGACGGUGCUUGGACAUCUCAUGGAAGCCAUUUUGAUUUGCUUUGACAGUCGACCGUCACAAGCCUGGGAUAAGAUGGCAAGCCAAAGACUUCUUUUUGCUCUCCCUUUGAUGAUUGGCGAAGCGAAAUCACACGAGGCCAUCAUAUUUUAUGCUUCUGUAAUGCACUGUUAGCACGACCACGGAACUGACUGACCAAUGUCUUCAUGAAGACUGAGUCACAUGACCGACAGGUCGGGAAAGAGCAGAAAUGGAAUCCCGUUUGGUGACCGCUUGUCAGUCAAGACGAGCCUCCCAGCUUGAAGACGGAUGUUUUCCCAACAUUGAGGACACGUGCGCGCCCCCCUUUGAUGGAUGGUCUGACUGUCUGUGGCGGGAUGUUAACAUAAAACCCGCAUUUAAAUAUGUUACUUAUCAACACUUUGCAGUUCAUCAACUGGGAGAACUUGAUUUAUUUGCUCCUUUAUCAGCGUGGAGUAAUUAGACGUUAAUAGCAAAACAUUUGCAGGCCGGCGUGUGAUUGAUGGACCGGUUUGGUGCACCUCUCUUUGCUUUCAGGACUGUUGAGUUGGAAUUAAACACAGGAAAAAGACUCAUCCAUGUUAGCUUAGCGGCUAGUGUAAUAUUUUACAUCAUUGCGACAAAGUCAGGGCACAUAGAAACAAACAAGCAUUCGCGCACACAUUCACACCUAAGGGCAAUUUAGAGUUCCCAAUCAACCUAGCAUGCAUGUUUUUGGGAUGUGGGAGGAAACCGGAGUGCCCGGAGAAAACCCACCCAGGCACGGCGAGAACAUGCAAACUCCACACAGGCGGGGCUUAGAUUUGAACCCCGGUCCUCAGAACUGCGAGCCGGAUGUGCUAAGCAGUCGCCCCCACCGUGUUCAAUUCAAUUUGAAUUAUUAUUUUACAACAGUGCACAGCGGGACGAACAGCCAAUCAGACUGUUGUGACAGGAGGCGUUACCGAAAAGUCUGUUGAUUGUCUUCACGUGUCCACCGCGCACACGGAGGCUCGCAGACUAUUCUAGUUUCUUGGCUGUAUUAUUUAAUUCCGGUUAGCAACAAAAGUUAAAAAGGAGGAAUUGGACAGCUUUCUACCUCAAAUCAAGGGUAAAGAUAAUAAUAAUGUAUAACAGUGGAGUGUGUCCUAUACAGCCGCUCAGCUGAGCUUUGAACACCACUGCAUACAUCACGUCACCGUUCUCACCGGGUCGUCAGUGAACAUGUCAAGCCAGCAGCUUCCGGAAGCAUCGCGCAAGCAGGACGCCCGCCGGACAGUACAUUAGCGUGUUUGCGUGGCCGCCUUGAUGUGUCGCAGCCUGGGUGAUGGAGCGUCGUCUUCCUCCGCUGACUUGUGACGCAGCAAACGCAAGAUGGACGAUCGUUCGCUGAUGAAAAGGACUUGUUUGUUCAUUCACGCACGAUGGAUGAAUUGCACCAGAUAAAAUAUCUUCCGCCGAACGAUUGUUUCACGCCGCCGUCCCGACCGGAAGUCGUGGAGGAUUUCAAAUAGAUGACAAAUGUCGAGGUCCCAGAGUCGUUUAUCAAAACGGGUGUAUUGACACAGAUAAACGAAAAUGAAAAAUAAAUCAAUAAAUGUCUGAGCCACAAUUGACUGACAACCAA